rnacentral:rRNA from 1 species
UACGUAGGGUGCGAGCGUUAGUCGGAAUUACUGGGCGUAAAGCGUGCGCAGGCGGUGAUGUAAGACAGAUGUGAAAUCCCCGGGCUUAACCUGGGAACUGCAUUUGUGACUGCAUCGCUGGAGUGCGGCAGAGGGGGAUGGAAUUCCGCGUGUAGCAGUGAAAUGCGUAGAUAUGCGGAGGAACACCGAUGGCGAAGGCAAUCCCCUGGGCCUGCACUGACGCUCCAUGCACGAAAGCGUGGGGAGCAAACAGG